rnacentral:rRNA from 1 species
CCCUUAGACGUUCUGGGCCGCACGCGCGCUACACUGACCAGUGCAACAAGCAUCCGUCCUUGGCCGACAGGCCCGGGCAAUCUUUGAACGCUGGUCGUGAUGGGGAUAGACUUUUGCAAUUUUUGGUCUUCAACGAGGAAUUCCUAGUAAACGCAAGUCAUCAACUUGCAUUGAUUACGUCCCUGCCCUUUGUACACACCGCCCGUCGCACCUACCGAUUGAAUGGUCCGGUGAAGCCUCCGGAUUGGCGCGCACCUCGGUGCCGCCGAGAAGUUGGCUAAACCUUACCAUGUAGAGGAAGGUGAAGUCGUAACA